ACUUUUAAUGGACAACAGCAGUCCGA
rnacentral:tRNA from 1 species